UACGAAGGGGGCUAGCGUUGUUCGGAAUUACUGGGCGUAAAGGGCGCGUAGGCGGUGUGUCAAGUCAGGCGUGAAAGCCCCGGGCUCAACCUGGGAACCGCGCUUGAGACUGGCACGCUAGAGUUCGGGAGAGGAUGGUGGAAUUCCCAGUGUAGAGGUGAAAUUCGUAGAUAUUGGGAAGAACACCGAUGGCGAAGGCAGCCAUCUGGACCGACACUGACGCUGAGGCGCGAAAGCCAGGGGAGCGAACGGG
rnacentral:rRNA from 1 species